UACGGAGGGUGCAAGCGUUGUCCGGAUUUAUUGGGUUUAAAGGGUGCGUAGGUGGCCCGUUAAGUCCGGGGUGAAAGCCCACUGCUCAACAGUGGAACUGCCCUGGAAACUGGACGGCUUGAGUACAGACGAGGGCGGCGGAAUGGAUGGUGUAGCGGUGAAAUGCAUAGAUACCAUCCAGAACCCCGAUUGCGAAGGCAGCUGACUAGGCUGUAACUGACGCUGAGGCACGAAAGCGUGGGGAGCGAACAGG
rnacentral:rRNA from 1 species